GUCUAGCAUGGUGGCAAGUACCUGUAGUCCUAGCAAUUCAGGAGGCUGAGGCAGGAGGAUCACUUCAGAAUUUCUGAGCUGUAGUGCGCUAUGCCGAUCAGGUAUCCACAUUAAAUUCAGCAUCAAUAUGGUGACCUCCACGGAGUGAGGGACCAAUAGGUUAUUUAAGGGGGAGUGAACUGGCCCAGGUUGGGAAUAGAGUAGAUCAAAACACCUUUGUUGAUCAGAAGUGUGAUUGCACCGCACUCCAGUUGGAGCAAGACAAGAAGACUCUGUCUCU
rnacentral:SRP_RNA from 1 species